CCUACGGGGGGCAGCAGUGGGGAAUAUUGCACAAUGGGCGCAAGCCUGAUGCAGCCAUGCCGCGUGUGUGAAGAAGGCCUUCGGGUUGUAAAGCACUUUCAGCGGGGAGGAAGGCGUUAAGGUUAAUAACCUUGGCGAUUGACGUUACCCGCAGAAGAAGCACCGGCUAACUCCGUGCCAGCAGCCGCGGUAAUACGGAGGGUGCAAGCGUUAAUCGGAAUUACUGGGCGUAAAGCACACGCAGGCGGUCUGUCAAGUCGGAUGUGAAAUCCCCGGGCUCAACCUGGGAACUGCAUUCGAAACUGGCAGGCUAGAGUCUUGUAGAGGGGGGUAGAAUUCCAGGUGUAGCGGUGAAAUGCGUAGAGAUCUGGAGGAAUACCGGUGGCGAAGGCGGCCCCCUGGACAAAGACUGACGCUCAGGUGCGAAAGCGUGGGGAGCAAACAGGAUUAGAUACCCGAGUAGUC
rnacentral:rRNA from 1 species